GGAAGGGUGGCUCAGUGGUAGAGCACACCGGCAGUGACCGUUCGCGGUCGAUCCGGUGGAUUUCAAUGGCUUCGCGUGGUUCGACUCCCGCCCCUUCCG
rfam:Haloferax sp. SB29 contig_260, whole genome shotgun sequence.